UCUCUGGUAGUAUAGUGGUGAGUAUCCGCGCCUGUCACGUGCGAGACCGGGGUUCGAUUCCCCGCCAGAGAG
rfam:Strongyloides venezuelensis genome assembly, scaffold: SVE_contig0000001